rnacentral:rRNA from 1 species
UUUAACGGCCGCGGUAUUUUGACCGUGCGAAGGUAGCGCAAUCACUUGUCUUUUAAAUGAAGACCUGUAUGAAUGGCACGACGAGGGCUUAACUGUCUCCUUUUUCCAGUCAAUGAAAUUGAUCUUCCCGUGCAGAAGCGGGAAUAAUAACAUAAGACGAGAAGACCCUGUGGAGCUUUAGACACUAAAUCAGCCCUUGUCCAAAAUCCCAAUUAAAGGAAUGAACACUAGAGUGCGACCUGAUCUAAUGUCUUCGGUUGGGGCGACCUUGGGGAAAGAAAAAUCCCCCAUGUGGAACAGAAAUACUAUGUUUCUAAAACUGAGAGAGACCACUCAAAGUAUCAAAAAUUUUGACCAACUAUAUGAUCCGGCUUAACGCCGAUCAACGGACCGAGUUACCCCAGGGAUAACAGCGCAAUCCUCUUUUAGAGCCCAUAUCGACAAGGGGGUUUACGACCUCGAUGUUGGAUCAGGACAUCCUAA